GGCAGGAAGAGAGCCCUGGGAGUGUAGGAGCCAGAUGGACCAGGAAUGCAGGGACUUUCAACAGACCUCAGCCAUCAGACACCUACACUUGAUGGUCGCCUUCCAAAGGAAAACAAUUGUCAGAGAAUCUUAGAGGUGUCAAUAUGUGCCAGGAAGACAAAUGGAGGAGAGAAUACAAAGUCGCUAAUGGUUCUUGCACCAGGGGAAGCUCUCACAGCAACAGACACUCCAGACAAGAUGGAAAGUUUCCAGUUGCUUCAUGCGCCUGCCACAGUGCCUUCCCAGCAUGAUGGACUGUAACCUUGAAGUACAAGGUA